GUUGUGUGGGAUUGAGAGGAGCUGAGGUUAAAGAAUCUGAUGGGUUGGAUGAUGGUGAUUAUUUUAUUCCUGACAAUUCCAAAAUGUGUCUCUGACUGUUGCAGUGAAGCUGCCCUGCGCUGCAGGACGAGCUGUUCCUGGGAGGCCUCCAGCCCACGCACACGAGGGCUGAGCUGGUGAGAUCAGAAAGAUACUCCUGAUCAACAGCAGAUGCCUCCUCUCUGCUUACGUAAGGCACUGGUGUUUAUGGAUUUGAGCUGGAUCUUUGUAUAACGCUGGAGUCCCUGUAGUCAGCCCUCCUUUCAGGGCAGAUCCCCGCCUGUUUUUUCUCUCCAUCAUCCCAUACCGCAGCCCCCAUCCAUGCACGGCAGCAGGGUCAGCGCUGCGUCCAGCUGCCAGCCCGGACUGCCUCUCUCAGAGAGCUCCUAUGCUGACACCUGGUGGAAAUGCCUCGAAAUGCCCUCGCGGAGCUCUGCGCUGUGCUGAAGCCACCCUUGGCUCGUUCAGCUCCUGCUCUGUCCCAGCCAGGCGGCUGCCUCUGCUCCCAGGGCACCCUGGCAAAGCCAGCAGUACCGCUGGUUUACUCCUCCACCACACAGCUGUGCGUGCGUUUACACCUGGAUUCCUUCUUCCGUAACUCAGACGGUAGUUCUGUGUCUGCAGGGAGAUGCUGAGGUGUAGUUCACUUCAUUUUGUUUUCACAUUUACCCGAGGCUCUAAAAAGAGGGAGGGUCUCUGCAGCUUGAAUGAGCCCUCUGUGGUUGCAAGAUGAGGAAGCUCCCCCUGCACAUCCAUCCCUGCAGCAAGAGGGAGCAUAAGCAAACAGCACAAAGCUUCACAUCUGUGCCCAGUGCAGGUCUGUUACAGGGUGUAUUUGGGAUGAUGGCACCAGUCAUGGAUGUGAGCAGGAAAAGGGCCUUUCUGUAUCCCCCACACAUCCAGAAAGGGACAGAUUGCUGCUGAAUUUCAGAGUUAUCCCUGCUGCUGUUGUUAAAAGUUCAAGCUCUUUCUGCUGCCGCCUUUUGCAGCCUUCUAUUCGUAGUGCUAAACUACUUCAUUGGCAUGAGGGCCUUUCAUAGAAAGUCACCUUACUUUCUGAAGGGGUUACUGGGACAAAAUAGGGAAGUGUGUUAAAGAAAGACAGAGGAAACCUCUCAGGGCCUCGGGCAGAAAUAAAUCCCAGUGCUGCAC
rnacentral:lncRNA from 1 species